GAUGAACGCUGGCGGCGUGCCUAAUACAUGCAAGUCGAGCGAAGGGGGGACGGGUGAGUAACACGUGGAAAACCUCCUCUAAGACUGGAAUAAAUUCGGGAAACCGGAGCUAAACCGGAUACUUAUGGCUGGAUCCGCGCUGCAUUAGCUAGUUGGUAAGGUAACGGCUUACCAAGGCAACGAUGCAUAGCCGACCUGAGAGUGUGAUCGGCCACACUGGGACUGAGACACGGCCCAGACUCCUACGGGAGGCAGCAGUAGGGAAUCUUCCGCAAUGGGCGAAAGCCUGACCGAGCAACGCCGCGUGAGUGAUGAAGGUCUUCGGAUCGUAAAACUCUGUUAUUAGGGAAGCGGUACCUAACCAGAAAGCCACGGCUAACUACGUGCCAGCAGCCGCGGUAAUAC
rnacentral:rRNA from 1 species